GGGGAUGUAGCUCAGUGGUAGAGCACUUGCCUAGUAUGUGGGAGGCUUGAGUUUGAGUCUUAGCACUUCAA
rnacentral:tRNA from 1 species